AUCUCCGGGAGCGGCCGAGAGCGCCCAGGUACUCGCGGCGGGGCGGGACAGGCCUGGGCGGCGGGCGGCCCCUCGACCCAACCCCUCGGACGUCCCCCGUUCGCCCCCGCCCAGGUGCUCGGAGGGAGCCCGAGCACGGGGUUCCGUCCCGCCGGCGAGCUGUGAUGCUGCUUCGGGGACCGCGCGCCAGGCUGGCGACUCCCUAGGACGCCGCCCGCACCUGCCCACCAGGCCCCUGCCGUCAGGGUUCGCCCACCGUCCUGAUGCCACUAGGCCAGAGACGGGCGUCUCACUUUUAACUCCUUUUUUAUUUCCACCCUGUCUCAAAUUCUUCGUUGCGACUGUGGCUUCACGCCUUAGCCAUCCCCCCAACUUCUUUAGUAGGCAAGACCGUUGCAGGGGUCGUGUUUCCAAAAGGGCCCUGCCGGCAGGGAGCCUUCCCACGACGAGCUUGCCUUUAGCACUCCAAUUCCUACCAUACUACGAUAAAACCCUCUCUCCUUGCUUUUAUCCUAGAACAUUCUGGGCUCAGAAAGCCCAGCCCCUCUCUGAAGGGUGGUGCUGGGUUGCUUUCCUCUGCCUCAAAUGCUGUGUUCCAACAACUGUCACUUCCUCCUGUCUCAGAAGGAUGAGGGUUCCAUCUUCUGUCCUGCACAUCACUCUCAGUGCCUCCAGCCUCUCUCGCUUCUGACACCACUUGGGCUCUGUGUUUUGAUAGUUGUGGAGGGCCAGUGGGGAAGAUGGAUAUCAGGGCCUGACUCAGGGUGUCAGGGUCCUCUUGAAUUGGG
rnacentral:lncRNA from 1 species